rnacentral:rRNA from 1 species
UAUACUUACCAGGGUACUGUUAGUUAAGGUCUUUAAACCCAAAGAAUUUGGCGGUAUCUCAUUCCAUUCAGAGGAACCUACCCCGUGAUUGAUAGUACACGAUUGACUUUACUUAAUUUAUUUGUUUGUAUAUCUCCGUUAUCAGAAUAUCUUUUUAGAGUUAUAAUUUUCUUGAUUUUUAAUUAAAAAGUAUUUCAGGUCAAGGUGCAGCUUAUGGUUAAGAGGAGGUGGGUUACAAUAAAUUCAUAUUUAUUACGGAUUUGAUGGUGAAAUACUGUUAAUGAAGGUGGAUUUGAUAGUAAUUUGGUUUAUUUAAUUUAAUUGAUAUUGGCUCUGAGGUGUGUACACAUCGCCCGUCGCUCUCAUUAUUGAUCAUUCUACUUAAAAUUUAUUGUUAAGGUAGUUUCAUGUUAGAUGAGAUAAGUCGUAACAUAGUAGAUGUACUGGAAAGUGUAUCUAGGAAGAAUUCAGGGCAUAACUUAUUAGUAAAGUAUUUCAUUUACACUGAAAAUUUUUCUGUGCAAAUCAGGAUGUCUUGAUUAUUCAUUUUAUUAUUAUGAUUUUUUGUUUAUUUUAGAAUUUAAUAGAAGUAAUU